AUUGAACGCUGGCGGCAUGCUUUACACAUGCAAGUCGAACGGCAGCGCGGGCUUCGGCCUGGCGGCGAGUGGCGAACGGGUGAGUAAUACAUCGGAACGUGCCCAGUAGUGGGGGAUAGCUCGGCGAAAGCCGGAUUAAUACCGCAUACGACCUGAGGGUGAAAGCGGGGGAUCUUCGGACCUCGCGCUAUUGGAGCGGCCGAUGGCAGAUUAGCUAGUUGGUGGGGUAAAGGCCUACCAAGGCGACGAUCUGUAGCUGGUCUGAGAGGACGACCAGCCACACUGGGACUGAGAAACGGCCCAGACUCCUAAGGGAGGCAGCAGUGGGGAAUUUUGGACAAUGGGCGAAAGCCUGAUCCAGCAAUGCCGCGUGUGUGAUGAAGGCCUUCGGGUUGUAAAGCACUUUUGGCGGGAACGAAAAGGACUGUGCCAAUACCACGGUUCGAUGACGGUACCCGCAGAAUAAGCACCGGCUAACUACGUG
rnacentral:rRNA from 1 species